GGAGGGGGAUGGGUAGGCUCCUUCUGGCCCCGGCCCUCCUGGGGCUGGCCUGGUCUUGGGUGCGGCCCAAGCCCCGCCCCC
rnacentral:tRNA from 1 species